AAUAUUUCACGGGCUUCAGCGACGUGUCAGCAAUUUUCUCAGAUUGGGUUUUUUAAUCUCACACAGAGUGAUUGUCACUCACGUGAACAAACACCGAUUUGCCUCUGAUUUCAGGCAUUUGUCAGCGAUAUUGCAAAACCUGUCAGUGAGUGAAAAUCUGGGCCGAAAUUGUGCAGUGUGAACUCGGCCUAAGUGCACCUGUGCCAUGCGCUUAGAUUAUUAAAAUAGGGCCCUGAGAGUGAGUGAACAAAACAGCUUGUCAUAAAGAAUACAGAGUAUAUAAACUUAUGUGGACUUAACAUUGGUGUACUUAAACUUCAUCCACAAGUGCAAAAAGUUCUAACAGUGCAUUGUACUAGUAAGGGGAUAUGCCAAAUACAUUGUUAACAUUUGUGGCAUUUGUUGAUCAAUAAAGAAGUAAUCAGCCCUCCAAUAUAUGUUAAAAACUGUUAGUGAUGAAGUUUCCCACCUUCAUCUGCACCAAUCCUGGAGAUUUACAAUCUCCACUCUACACACCUGAUCCAGCUGAUUAAGAUCUUCAGAAACAAGAGUACUGACCAGGAUUUGAACUAAACUCUGCAGGAAGUUAUAUCUCCAGGAACAGGAUUGAUAAACACUGAAUUAGACAUUAUCAGAAGAUCUUAAAUGGAUUAAGCUAUCACAUAUUACUGUGCGUUUUUGCAUUUGUUGAAAAGGGCAGAUAUAUUGACACUCGAACCCGAUAGGACAAGGUGUUUGAAAAAAAAAAAAUACAGAUGAAUUUGACAAGUUUAUUAGUUGAAGAGUCAAACCUAAUGAAAGAAACAGUGAGAACCUUAUCAUAUCAGAUAAUUAAUUUUCUGCAUUGUUUCAAUAUCUGUCUCUGCUGGGAGGUAAAACUCCAGGUGACCCUGUGAGACGAAUGAUGAGAUAAAACGGAACCAGUGCCCUUUGAGCCAAUUAGAGUUUGAAGGGUCGAAAGGGGAAAAAGGAAUUUUCAGGACCUGGCGAUAUAUCCCGCCAUAAUCUGUCUGCCACAAAAUCCAUUCCACAACUCUGCAGAAGAUGGUUGAAAACUGUAUAGCGGAUGCACUGAGAUAUGCUCCUCCCAGAGGGACUCAGAUUUGGAGUUUUGGAAAUCAUCCAGUCGCAAGAUCUUCGCAAUUAAAAGCAUUGAGUUGGUGAAACUUAAAAGACAAGAGAAUGUGUCUAAAAAGAAAAGGGGCAUAAUGAAGGACAUCUUCUGGAUGAAAGUCGAUCAGUGUGUCAUGACCCUGCAGGAGCACCAGAGGGGGUUACCUGAUUGAAUCUUUU
ensembl:lncRNA